rnacentral:misc_RNA from 1 species
GUGAAUCAUCGAAUUUUUGAACGCAUAUUGCACUAUCUGGUAUUACGGAGAGUAUGCCUAUUUGAGGCUCAUUUGAAAUAAAAUAAGUUUCUAGAUUUUCUUGAAAUCAAAAAUGGAUCGGUCCAGCUUUCGUGUGGUGGUCGCCUAAAAUGCAAGACAAGCUCAUUUCUUGGAUUACUGGAUACUUUCAGUUACCUAUUGACUUCAAAAGAAAUCUUCUAGCUUGUUAAUAAUUGUUCAAGAAAUAAACUUCGUUUAUC